CCCGCGCUCCAGCGGGCCGAGCGCGUGCGGCCGCCGAGCACAUGGGCCCGCGGGCCGGGCGGACUCCGGGCGGCCGGGACCCGGAGAAUCAGCGAGGGGCCGCGAGCGAGGAUGGGCCCCGGCACGCGCCUGGAACCCCCUGAGUGGAUUUCCACACGGAAAGGCUGUUGGCGGCCCCGGUGACCUGCGGAGACACGGCUGAAUCCACCUUCCAAGAGAGGCUGGCAGCCCUGUCUCAUCCCUCCGUUCCCCCACCACUUGGCGUCCUGGCUACUGGAGCUGUUUAGUUGCUGGAGAAAACCCUGAAGAAACGUGUGUUUGUCUGCGGUGGCUGGGCGGGGCUCUGAGGAGGUAGGGACUGCAUCUGCUCUGCUGCUUGUCAUAGGGUGUCGCAGGCCUCUUUUGCAUACUGGCAGUGACAAGUUGAGGCUUGUUCAUUUGACACAGUCCUGUGGUCACAGUGAAUCUCUCUAAAGCUCUAACCAGUGGAGAAGAGGGUUGUAUGGAUCCUCUGAACUCUGAGUGGGACUUCCUGAAAGAUUUAUUAGGAGAAAAACCUUCCUGGAAGCAGCAGCAGAACACACACAGAAUCGCUGGCUGGGCAGAGCCUCGUGGCCUGGUCUCCACUAUCUGGGAGCAGUUACAUCUUGGAGGCUUGAUCUUUUGACCAGAAAGGAAUUAAAAAGAUGGUCCCUCGAGAUGGCUGUGCCUGUCAGGCUGUGCCUGUCAGCUGCAUGGAGCUUCCCUGAAGGCUUUUCUGAGCCGUGUGGAUGUACAGUGAUUCUCGGCCGCCUGAGGAAUGACGCUGGUGGAAGCCCUCUCUCCAGUGACACACACCCGUCCCAUUUCUGGAUGCUAAAGGCGGUUUUAGGAAGCUCCUGGCUGAGUGCCUCGUGGAUCCUGCAGCCUGGAUGCCCCUGGUGGACGGAGGACUGAAGCUUCCUGCCCCUGCUGCCGACAGGAAUGUUCGGCCGGGGCUCGGCCAGCUCCCUCGGGGGCCCCCUAUGAAACCAUCCUGUUCCACCUGGGAUUUAGGUGCCUUUAACUUGAAAAAAAAAACCAACGUAUCCAUUCAAUACUCCAGAGGGACUUGAAAACUGUUCUUCCCUGAACUAAAGCUGGAAUAUCAUGGGAUGUGAAGAAUCAAGGCCGGGCUGAGGUUUCAGAGGAGUUCCGAGCUCCUGUGGAGAUUUGCUUCUCUCCAGCCUUGGGCUGUCUGCACUCUUGAACAUCUCAGGGCCCAGAAGAGAAAGAAGAAAGCCAACCAGUUCUGGGAGCAGCCUGGCUGAAGAGAGAAGGACAGCACAACAGGCUCCCAGAUUCCUCACCCCAACGAGAGGAUAAGGAUGAAGGUGGUGGGGUGUGGUCGACUCCUGGUCCUCAGCCUUGGCCCCUCGGUAGUACCAGGGCUGCGACUGAGACCCUCCCAUCCUGGGAAGAGGCGGAGAAGCCUCUGGAUUUAGAGCAUCACAAAGAACGGCGCUGGAACCUUCAGAAACCGGGGGAACAGUGCACUUUCAAAACUGGGCAGGUGGGGCUUCCCUGGUGGCGCAGUCAUUGAGAGUCUGCCUGCCGAUGCAGGGGACACGGGUUCGUGCCCCGGUUCGGGAAGAUCCCACAUGCCGUGGAGCAGCUGGGCCUGUGAGCCAUGGCUGCUGAGCCUGCGCGUCCGGAGCCUGUGCUCCGCAACGGGAGAGGCCACAACAGUGAGAGGCCCGCGUACUGAAAAAAAAAAAAAAAAAAAAAAAAACAAAAAACUGGGCAGGUGGGGUGGUGCCUCUGUGAUCAACAGGCUUGGCGCAUGGCACAGAAGGAGGUGAGAAUGGAAAAACAGCUGCCAAUGGAAAUAGAGAGCUUCUCAAGUCACCCUCGUUCCCUCCUCACGGCACCAUCAACGCUUCGACAGCACCCGCCCUUCCGGUGGCGGCCCCUUCACGCCAGCUGCUGGAAAUCGCUGUGGGCAGAGUGAAGGCAGAGGCCAUUUUCUAGCUGGGUGACCUUGGGCAGGCUGCUAGGCGCUCUGCACCUCGUUUCCCUCUUUUGUCAAAUGGUGAUGAUGAUAACUACCUGGUCGGGUCUUUUAUUAGAGAUAAUACGGUUCCUGGCACACAGUAGGUGCUCAGUAUGAAAAUGUUUUCUGCAGGGGUCCUCUUCAUACACCGACCCCUUCUCUGGAGAGGUUUCCUUUAUGACCAGCAAGCUGUCAGCACCUCAUUUCCUAGCUGGGCACAUCCUUAUGGGUAUUCGCUCUAUUGCCAUCUGCCCAGACCUCCCUCCCUCCCUCCCUCCCCCCACCUUGUGUAGGUAUACACAUAGAAAACAUGCAGCUUUCUAAUUUGCUUUUAGUUAAAAAUGUGUCAUAAGCAUCA